ACGAACAGGACGGAAAAUGCCCGGGCCCCAUUCAUGGCCGCCGGGGGCUCUCACCCCUGUGACUUUCCCGCCGGAACGACUCUAACUCUGUCUGAUCUAGUGAUUGAAUUGAUUGAUCUGAAUCAGGUAAAACUUACACAAUGGAUCUCUUGGAUCCGGCAUGUGUGAAGAACAAAUCAAAUGCCAUAACUACUGUGAAUUGACAAUUCCCCGAAUCAUCUAGUCUUUGAAUGCCUGUUGCACCCCCUGGUAUUCCCGGGGGCCUGCCUGUUUGAGGGUGGUUACUGCCCAUCAAGCACGGCUUGUGUGUUGGGUCGUCGUCCCCUCUCCGGGGGGGACGGGCCCCAAAGGCAGCGGCGGCACCGCGUCCGUCCUCGAGCGUAUGGGGCUUUGUCACCCGCUCUGAGCCCGGCCGGCGCUUGCCGAACGCAAAUCAAUCUUUUUCCAGGUUGACCUCGGAUCAGUAGGGAUACCCCUGAACUUAAGCUAUC
rnacentral:rRNA from 1 species